UUUAUGGAGAGUUUGAUCCUGGCUCAGGAUGAACGCUGGCGGCGUGCCUAAUACAUGCAAGUCGAGCGAACGGACGAGAAGCUUGCUUCUCUGAUGUUAGCGGCGGACGGGUGAGUAACACGUGGAUAACCUACCUAUAAGACUGGGAUAACUUCGGGAAACCGGAGCUAAUACCGGAUAAUAUUUUGAACCGCAUGGUUCAAAAGUGAAAGACGGUCUUGCUGUCACUUAUAGAUGGAUCCGCGCUGCAUUAGCUAGUUGGUAAGGUAACGGCUUACCAAGGCAACGAUGCAUAGCCGACCUGAGAGGGUGAUCGGCCACACUGGAACUGAGACACGGUCCAGACUCCUACGGGAGGCAGCAGUAGGGAAUCUUCCGCAAUGGGCGAAAGCCUGACGGAGCAACGCCGCGUGAGUGAUGAAGGUCUUCGGAUCGUAAAACUCUGUUAUUAGGGAAGAACAUAUGUGUAAGUAACUGUGCACAUCUUGACGGUACCUAAUCAGAAAGCCACGGCUAACUACGUGCCAGCAGCCGCGGUAAUACGUAGGUGGCAAGCGUUAUCCGGAAUUAUUGGGCGUAAAGCGCGCGUAGGCGGUUUUUUAAGUCUGAUGUGAAAGCCCACGGCUCAACCGUGGAGGGUCAUUGGAAACUGGAAAACUUGAGUGCAGAAGAGGAAAGUGGAAUUCCAUGUGUAGCGGUGAAAUGCGCAGAGAUAUGGAGGAACACCAGUGGCGAAGGCGACUUUCUGGUCUGUAACUGACGCUGAUGUGCGAAAGCGUGGGGAUCAAACAGGAUUAGAUACCCUGGUAGUCCACGCCGUAAACGAUGAGUGCUAAGUGUUAGGGGGUUUCCGCCCUUAGUGCUGCAGCUAACGCAUUAAGCACUCCGCCUGGGGAGUACGACCGCAAGGUUGAAACUCAAAGGAAUUGACGGGGACCCGCACAAGCGGUGGAGCAUGUGGUUUAAUUCGAAGCAACGCGAAGAACCUUACCAAAUCUUGACAUCCUUUGACAACUCUAGAGAUAGAGCUUUCCCCUUCGGGGGACAAAGUGACAGGUGGUGCAUGGUUGUCGUCAGCUCGUGUCGUGAGAUGUUGGGUUAAGUCCCGCAACGAGCGCAACCCUUAAGCUUAGUUGCCAUCAUUAAGUUGGGCACUCUAAGUUGACUGCCGGUGACAAACCGGAGGAAGGUGGGGAUGACGUCAAAUCAUCAUGCCCCUUAUGAUUUGGGCUACACACGUGCUACAAUGGACAAUACAAAGGGCAGCGAAACCGUGAGGUCAAGCAAAUCCCAUAAAGUUGUUCUCAGUUCGGAUUGUAGUCUGCAACUCGACUACAUGAAGCUGGAAUCGCUAGUAAUCGUAGAUCAGCAUGCUACGGUGAAUACGUUCCCGGGUCUUGUACACACCGCCCGUCACACCACGAGAGUUUGUAACACCCGAAGCCGGUGGAGUAACCUUUUAGGAGCUAGCCGUCGAAGGUGGGACAAAUGAUUGGGGUGAAGUCGUAACAAGGUAGCCGUAUCGGAAGGUGCGGCUGGAUCACCUCCUUUCU
rnacentral:rRNA from 1 species